rnacentral:rRNA from 1 species
AUUGAACGCUGGCGGCAGGCCUAACACAUGCAAGUCGAGCGGAUGAAGGGAGCUUGCUCCUGGAUUCAGCGGCGGACGGGUGAGUAAUGCCUAGGAAUCUGCCUGGCAGUGGGGGAUAACGUCCGGAAACGGGCGCUAAUACCGCAUACGUCCUGAGGGAGAAAGUGGGGGAUCUUCGGACCUCACGCUAUCAGAUGAGCCUAGGUCGGAUUAGCUAGUUGGUGGGGUAAAGGCCUACCAAGGCGACGAUCCGUAACUGGUCUGAGAGGAUGAUCAGUCACACUGGAACUGAGACACGGUCCAGACUCCUACGGGAGGCAGCAGUGGGGAAUAUUGGACAAUGGGCGAAAGCCUGAUCCAGCCAUGCCGCGUGUGUGAAGAAGGUCUUCGGAUUGUAAAGCACUUUAAGUUGGGAGGAAGGGCAGUAAGUUAAUUCCUUGCUGUUUUGACGUUACCAACAGAAUAAGCACCGGCUAACUUCGUG